ACGGGAGGCAGCAGUGGGGGAUAUUGGACAAUGGGGGCAACCCUGAUCCAGCGACGCCGCGUGAGGGAAGAAGGUUUUCGGAUUGUAAACCUCUGUUGACAGGGAAAAUAGUGAUGGUACCUGUUCAGAAAGCCACGGCUAACUACGUGCCAGCAGCCGCGGUAAUACGUAGGUGGCAAGCGUUGUCCGGAAUUACUGGGUGUAAAGGGAGCGUAGGCGGGACUGCAAGUCAGAAGUGAAAAUUAUGGGCUCAACUCAUAACCUGCUUUUGAAACUGUAGUUCUUGAGUGAAGUAGAGGCAAGCGGAAUUCCUAGUGUAGCGGUGAAAUGCGUAGAUAUUAGGAGGAACACCAGUGGCGAAGGCGGCUUACUGGACUGUAACUGACGUUGAGGCUCGAAAGCGUGGGGAGCAAACAGGAUUAGAUACCCUGGUA
rnacentral:rRNA from 1 species